rnacentral:rRNA from 1 species
GAUGAACGCUGGCGGCGUGCCUAAUACAUGCAAGUCGAGCAAACGGACGAGAAGCUUGCUUUUCUGAUGUUAGCGGCGGACGGGUGAGUAACACGUGGAUAACCUACCUAUAAGACUGGGAUAACUUCGGGAAACCGGAGCUAAUACCGGAUAAUAUUUUGAACCGCAUGGUUCAAAAGUGAAAGACGGUCUUGCUGUCACUUAUAGAUGGAUCCGCGCUGCAUUAGCUAGUUGGUAAGGUAACGGCUUACCAAGGCAACGAUGCAUAGCCGACCUGAGAGGGUGAUCGGCCACACUGGAACUGAGACACGGUCCAGACUCCUACGGGAGGCAGCAGUAGGGAAUCUUCCGCAAAGGGCGAAAGCCUGACGGAGCAACGCCGCGUGAGUGAUGAAGGUCUUCGGAUCGUAAAACUCUGUUAUUAGGGAAGAACAUAUGUGUAAGUAACUGUGCACAUCUUGACGGUACCUAAUCAGAAAGCCACGGCUAACUACGUG